AUGGACGAUGACAUCGUCUAUCGUCCCAAUCCUACUCUAGAUUUAAUACUGUCACAUGGAGUUGAUGUUGAUGGUGUUGAAAUUAUGCAGCCAAGCGAUAUCUCAGAUCAUUAUCUAGUUUUGUGCAAACUUCAUGUAGCUAAAACUGUAAAUUCUACUCCUUGUUACAAGUAUGGUAGAACCAUCACUUCGACCACAAAAGACUGCUUUGUAAGUAAUCUUCCUGCUUUAUCCCAAGUCCUCAGCAUAUCCAAUACCUCAGAACAACUUGAUGAUGUAACAGAAACUAUGGACUCUGUCUUUUCUAGCAUUUUAGAUGCUUGGCAGGAAAGUACCCUGUCCUAUGGAAAAGCAUUAAAAACUACUAGAUCUGAUUGCUUUUCGUCUCUUUUAGAAGAAAACAAACAUAACCCCAGAUAUUUAUUCAAAACAGUGGCUAAAAUAACGAAAAAUAAAGCAUCAACAGGUGUUGACAUUUCCAAGAUUGAUACUAUUAGAGAUAAAUUGCAUACUGCAGCCAUCAGCUACAGUAUCGCAGCAGAUAAAGAGGUGCUUCCAGAAGUCAUGGAUCCUCUUCUGACUAUUAUUAAUUCAUCAUUGUCAUGAUAUGUCCAAAACCUUCAAACUGGCUGUAAUUAAGCAUCUCAUCAAAAAACAACAACUUGACCCCAAAGAACUAGUUAAUUACAGUUUGUAGCAGUGAAUGAAGAAGUAUCCUAUCGAUCACAAGUGCAGUAUGGAGUACCUCAAGGCUCAGUACUAGGGCCGUUACUUUUCACGCUUUACAUGUUACCCUUGGGAAAUAUCAUCAGGAAACACGAUGUUAGCUUUAACUAUGAUGCGCUAUAUUUCUUUGUAAGAUACCAAUUUGAAAAACUAACAGAAUGCAUAGUCAAUAUAAAAAACUGGAUGACAAGUAAGUUCUUACUGCUAAAUUAUGAAAAAAACAGAGGUGUUAAUUAUCGGACCUAUACCUCCGCAUGUAAUAACCUAGAACACUGUCUAACACUUGAUGGCUGCUCUGUCAGGUCUCCGUAAUCAGUUAGGAACCUAGGUGUGAUAUUUGAUAGUAAUCUUUCCUUUCCUUCUCAAAAAUAUAUCUAAAUUACUACCUAUGCUCUCAAUGUCAAAUGCAGAAACGUUAAUUCAUCUGUUCAUAACCUCAAGGUUAGAUUAUUGUAAUGCUUUAUUGGUUGAUUGUUCUGCAUGCUUAAUAAACAAACUCCAGCUAGUCCA
ensembl:lncRNA